rnacentral:rRNA from 1 species
UACACUCCUGCGGGAGGCAGCAGUGGGGAAUUUUGGACAAUGGGCGAAAGCCUGAUCCAGCAAUGCCGCGUGAGUGAAGAAGGCCUUCGGGUUGUAAAGCUCUUUUGUCAGGGAAGAAACGGUGAGAGCUAAUAUCUUUUGCUAAUGACGGUACCUGAAGAAUAAGCACCGGCUAACUACGUGCCAGCAGCCGCGGUAAUACGUAGGGUGCAAGCGUUAAUCGGAAUUACUGGGCGUAAAGCGUGCGCAGGCGGUUUUGUAAGUCUGAUGUGAAAUCCCCGGGCUCAACCUGGGAAUUGCAUUGGAGACUGCAAGGCUAGAAUCUGGCAGAGGGGGGUAGAAUUCCACGUGUAGCAGUGAAAUGCGUAGAUAUGUGGAGGAACACCGAUGGCGAAGGCAGCCCCCUGGGUCAAGAUUGACGCUCAUGCACGAAAGCGUGGGGAGCAAACAGGAUUAGAAACCCGAGUAGUCCCA